CUUGAUCGAACCCAGCAACAACGGCCGGUCGCGGUCCUGACCGUAGGUCGCCAGCAACGCCUGCGCCUC
rnacentral:antisense_RNA from 1 species